rnacentral:rRNA from 1 species
UACGUAGGGUGCAAGGCGUUGUCCGGAAUUAUUGGGCGUAAAGAGCUUGUAGGCGGUUUGUCGCGUCUGCUGUGAAAUUUCGGGGCUCAACCCCGAACUUGCAGUCGGGUACGGGCAGACUAGAGUGUGGUAGGGGAGACUGGAAUUCCUGGUGUAGCGGUGAAAUGCGCAGAUAUCAGGAGGAACACCGAUGGCGAAGGCAGGUCUCUGGGCCAUAACUGACGCUGAGAAGCGAAAGCAUGGGGAGCGAACAGGA